rnacentral:rRNA from 1 species
UACAGAGGGUGCGAGCGUUAAUCGGAAUUACUGGGCGUAAAGGGCGCGUAGGCGGCCACCGCAAGUCAGUUGUGAAAUCUCUGGGCUUAACCCAGAACGGUCAGCUGAUACUGCGGGGCUAGAGUGCAGAAGGGGCAACUGGAAUUCUCGGUGUAGCGGUGAAAUGCGUAGAUAUCGAGAGGAACACCUGCGGCGAAGGCGGGUUGCUGGGCUGACACUGACGCUGACAGCGCGAAAGCUAGGGGAGCGAACGGG